CACAGGGCCCCCCUCCAUUCCCUACCUAUUAGUGAAGAUCCGUUCGGCAGAGUAGCUGUUGACAUUAUAGUUGCACAGGCACUUUGGUGAUAGCGACUUUGCAUUCGGAUGUCUGCCCUAUCAACUUUCGAUGCCACUUUCUGCGCCUACCAUGGUGACAACGGGUAAUGGGGAAUCAGGGUUUGAUUCCGGAGAGGCAGCCUGAGAAAUGGAUACCACAUCCAAAGAAGGCAGGGGGGCGCAAAUUACCCACUCCCGACGCGGGGAGGUAGUGACG